AGUAGAUGACUUGCCAGAAAGCUAUGAUGAUGUCGUCAUCAUACGACAGUUCUCCAGUGAUAAAGCAGCCACAUUUAUAUCAGAGGGUGUUCAGGAGGAGUAUGAUGAUGUGAAGAAUGUCAGAGAAUAUAUGAGUGACAUGUUUGACUAUGAUGAUGUGGAGGAGGAUCCAGGAAAACAAGCAGGAGCUGUUUAAC